rnacentral:rRNA from 1 species
UACGUAGGGUGCAAGCGUUGUCCGGAAUUAUUGGGCGUAAAGAGCUCGUAGGCGGUUUGUCGCGUCUGCUGUGAAAACUCGGGGCUUAACCCCGGGCCUGCAGUGGGUACGGGCAGACUAGAGUGCGGUAGGGGAGACUGGAAUUCCUGGUGUAGCGGUGAAAUGCGCAGAUAUCAGGAGGAACACCGGUGGCGAAGGCAGCUCACUGGGACGGUAUUGACGCUGAGACGCGAAAGCGUGGGGAGCAAACAGG